ensembl:lncRNA
CAGACUCAAAACACUAGCUGGCUCUCUGUGUCAAUUAAAUACUUGUGUGCUGAAAGAAAGAAAGACAGAAAAACAGAAUUGAUUGACACUUUGGAGUUAAUCCCCAUAUCAACGACUCCUGGAGAGACGGGAUACACUUAGAGCACAGGGGAUCAACAACGGGAGUGAAAGAGAGUGAAAUCAGGGAAGGAAAGGAGAGAAGACGGGGGAAGGUAUCAGAAUACAUUAUGGACACGCACACAGGGAUAGACUCAUCUGUCCAUCUUUACUCACUUUCUCUCCGUGUAUAUCUCUGUCCAGGCUCCAUGGGGGAUGGACGCUGCUUGGACGCCUGAGGUGAAAGCCCCUCACUGGGCAGAGGAUGCAGCAGCAGUGGGGUUGGAGGUCUGGUGGUGUUGCUGGUGUCCUGCUGAACAAAAGGUUAGAGUUGAGACUCUUCUUCUGUCCUCACAUGUCAUAACAUUGUUAACCAGCAGCUGCUGCAGAAAGGCCUCAUGGGAAUGCCUUUCCUAUACCUGUGCUGCAGGUGUGUGUGUGUGUGUGUGUUAACCUUUGACAGAACUGGAGUUCAAAUGGGUUAACACUGACUCUUUCACCAUGUUUGAAAAUAGUUAAAGUGAAGGAGAAGAAAGGAAAGAGAGAGAAAGAAAAAAAAAAAUCAAGGGGACAGACCCUUGGGCAGACGCUUUUUUUAUGUCGUUCAAAGGAUCAGCCGGAUCAGCCGGAGACUUCAAGUGAAACCUGAUAAUGUUAGUGGUCAGGGAAACAUUUACAGGUGGCACACACAUUACUCUCUGUUGCCCCCCGCCCCCCCUUCUCUGAGACAAAAUCUCAAACGCUUUUCUUUCCCUCGGGAAGACUUUGUUCUGAAGUGCUCUGGGCUCAAGCGUGUUUUAUAAGCAUUUUUAUACAGUUUCCUCUCUGUGAUACUCUCAGAUAUGCUCUUCUCUCUGAGAAGGCCGAUAAACAGACAAACUAUUUAACCGUCGAAAGACAAGAGAUUUUUUAGAAUGAUUGCAAGUCAAAGCCAUAUGUUCUCCUCUCUCUUUCUCUUCCUCUCGCUAAUGAGUGUAUUUCUCAGCUCCUCGGCGGAUUAGGCGCGCAAAGAAAGAGCGAAGGAAAGAAAAGAUCCAAUUGAGAGACGGCGAGGUCCGCCGAGCUCAAUGGAAGAGAAAAGCGGGCGAGAAAAAGGGGGCGAGAGGUAGAAUAGCAUGAUCUGCAGGGGGCAGACCCUCACUCCAGGACCUUCCUCUCUUUCUGUCGUCUCUUUUUUCCCCUGUCCUCCUCCGCUCUGCCUUUGGGAUUCAAAUGCCAUCUCAUUAGUUUUUAUUGGAUUGAAAUGUUUCGUGAGGUCUCUGCUCACGUAGAGUUUGGUGGUGGGAUUUGAGAGGCUAAGAGUGCGCCAAAUAAGUUGUAUCCUUUUGCCUUUCUUUCACUCGGCUUUUCAUGAGCUCAUUCCCAUCCCUCCUUCUGCGCCUGCUAAUUGUGCUGUCGUCUUCACGCUUCAAUUUGCGGUGAAACUGCUUAGAAGUUAAAAUAAAGGAGCCGUUUUCUCUGUUCA